rnacentral:tmRNA from 1 species
GGGGCAGUACUGGUUUCGACAGGGGCUAUGCAGCUGGUGAAGCUAUCCGCAUGCGAUGCGUUAAAUGGCAAACCUAAAUAUAAACGCUAACAAUAACGAAUUAGCAUUAGCUGCUUAAUGCAGCUUGUCGGCCUUAAGGCACUCACACUUUAAGAUCCCGGCAUCGACUAUGUGAGAAACGACGUAUGCAAAGCUUUGAGCAUNNAACUAACUAUGAUAGUAGAAGAACAGGGAAUUGGUUUUUGGACACGGGUUCAACUCCCGUCUGCUCCACUC